rnacentral:rRNA from 1 species
UACGUAGGGGGCAAGCGUUGUCCGGAAUCAUUGGGCGUAAAGCGCGUGUAGGCGGCCAUCCAAGUCCGAUGUGAAAGCUCGGGGCUCAACCCCGAGUCUGCAUUGGAAACUGGCUGGCUUGAGUCCGGAAGAGGAGACUGGAAUUCCUGGUGUAGCGGUGAAAUGCGCAGAUAUCAGGAAGAACACCGGUGGCGAAGGCGGCUCGCUGGGACGGUAUUGACGCUAAGGCGCGAAAGCGUGGGGAGCAAACAGG